rnacentral:rRNA from 1 species
AACGAACGCUGGCGGCAGGCCUAACACAUGCAAGUCGAGCGCACCCUUCGGGGCGAGCGGCGGACGGGUUAGUAACGCGUGGGAACGUGCCCUUCUCUAAGGAAUAGCCUCGGGAAACUGAGAGUAAUACCUUAUACGCCCUUCGGGGGAAAGAUUUAUCGGAGAAGGAUCGGCCCGCGUUGGAUUAGGUAGUUGGUGAGGUAACGGCUCACCAAGCCGACGAUCCAUAGCUGGUUUGAGAGGAUGAUCAGCAACACUGGGACUGAGACACGGCCCAG